rnacentral:rRNA from 1 species
AUGCCAGGAGGAGAUGAGCCAGUUUUCGGAGGUAGGGAAGCGUUUGCAGGUGCAGGCAGGGGAGGGAAUGGUGGUGCUGCUGGGCGAGCGAUCAGAGGUAGGGGAGGGAAUGGUGUUGGGGCCAGGGGACCUGCAGCCGUGGGUGCAGGCAUAGGAGGACAGUUCCAGUUCCAAGUAGGAGGGUACGGUGGCGGAGCCAGGCCAGCGGCAGGCAGAGGAGCAGCCAGACGACAGUUCCCGGUGGGCGGGUACGGUGGCGGAGCCAGGGCAGGGGCAGGCGGAGGAGAGUUUGUAGGUGCGGGUGGAGGACAGUUCCCGGCGGGAGGGAACGGUGGUGGGGGAAUGGGAGCUGCAGCCGUGAGAGCGUUCGCAGGUCCGGUCAGAGGACCGGGAUGGUUGUACGGUGGUGGAGUCCAGGGAGCUGCAGCCGUGGGAGAGUUUGGAGGGGCUAGGGGAGGAGACUUCAGAAGGAACGACGAUGAUAUUCUGCCCGCUGUUCUACCGAGGAAUUAUGCGAGGGUCGGAGAGUUGUGGCGUGGUCCGGCGGUGGAGUCCAACACUCAGGCGACCACUGGGUCUGGGACCGGCAGCAGGCCAGCCUCUACUACGACGAAAUCGCAAUCUUUUUCUACAGCUCAGACGACGAAUUCACAAUCUUUUUCUGCAGCUCAGCCGACGAAUUCACAACCACAAACAAGCGUGAAUUAUGACAACAUGUACCCCUAUCGGCAGCUGGGAUCCCAAACUUUACAAUGGCGUCAACAGGCACAGCACCACCCCAACCCUCCUCAGCAGCAGCAGACACCAUGGCGUCAACAACGGUCUGCUCAUGCUCUGGCUUCUCUAUUUUCUUUCAGAAUGCUCUGCUGCACGUUACUUUUGUUCGAGCGUUGUCUAACUUUCAAUCCUGUCAUGCUGCGUGAAAUGGUUGAACAGUGA